AGAAAUUGCUGUGGCGAGGGGAUUUAUCUCCGCUGCGCAGCCCAGCGGGGAUAAAUCCCCUCGCCACAGCAAGCUCC
rnacentral:antisense_RNA from 1 species